rnacentral:rRNA from 1 species
AGCGAACGCUGGCGGCAGGCCUAACACAUGCAAGUCGAACGAACUCUUCGGAGUUAGUGGCGGACGGGUGAGUAACACGUGGGAACGUGCCUUUUGGUUCGGAAUAACUCAGGGAAACUUGUGCUAAUACCGAAUGUGCCCUUCGGGGGAAAGAUUUAUCGCCAUUAGAGCGGCCCGCGUCUGAUUAGCUAGUUGGUGAGGUAACGGCUGACCAAGGCGACGAUCAGUAGAUGGUCCGAGAGGAGGACAAGCCACACUGGAACGGAGACACGGCCCAGACGCCGACGGGAGGCCACAGUAGGGAAUCGUACGCAAUGGGCGAAAGGCGGAGGGAGCAACGCCGGGUGAGUUAUGAAGGUCUUCGGACCGGAAAACUCUGUAAUUAGGGAAGAAGAUAAGUGUAAGUAACUGUGCACAUCGGGACGGUACCUAAUCAGAAAGCCACGGCUAACUACGUG